UACGGAGGAUGCAAGCGUUAUCCGGAAUGAUUGGGCGCAAAGCGUCCGCAGGUGGCUAUGUAAGUCUGCUGUUAAAGAGCAAGGCUCAACCUUGUAAAGGCAGUGGAAACUACAUGGCUAGAGUGCGUUCGGGGCAGAGGGAAUUCCUGGUGUAGCGGUGAAAUGCGUAGAGAUCAGGAAGAACACCGGUGGCGAAGGCGCUCUGCUAGGCCGCAACUGACACUGAGGGACGAAAGCUAGGGGAGCGAAUGGG
rnacentral:rRNA from 1 species